rnacentral:rRNA from 1 species
UACGUAGGGUGCGAGCGUUGUCCGGAAUUACUGGGCGUAAAAGAGCUCGUAGGUGGUUUGUCGCGUUGUCCGUGAAAACUCACAGCUUAACUGUGGGCGUGCGGGCGAUACGGGCAGACUGGAGUACUGCAGGGGAGACUGGAAUUCCUGGUGUAGCGGUGGAAUGCGCAGAUAUCAGGAGGAACACCGGUGGCGAAGGCGGGUCUCUGGGCAGUAACUGACGCUGGAGGAGCGAAAGCGUGGGGAGCGAACAGG